rnacentral:lncRNA from 1 species
GCAGGCUCCUCACGGCCUCCCUGGGACCCCAGGCGCGUCGGGAGGCGUCGUCCUCCAGCCCCGAGGCCGGCGAAGGGCAGAUCCGCCUCACAGACAGUUGCGUCCAGGCUUUUGGAAAUCACCGAAGGGUCAGAAUUCCUCAGGCUGCAAGUGGAGGGAGGUGGAUGCUCCGGAUUCCAAUACAAAUUUUCACUGGAUACAGUUAUCAACCCCGACGACAGGCAAGGAGGAAGGGGGUGGGGCAAGAGUGGUGGUUGACUCUGAUAGCUUGGCCUUCGUGAAAGGGGCCCAGGUGGACUUCAGCCAAGAACUGAUCCGAAGCUCAUUUCAAGUGUUGAACAAUCCUCAAGCACAGCAAGGCUGCUCCUGUGGGUCAUCUUUCUCUAUCAAACUUUGAUGUGAUGACUGGUGACUCUGGGAUUGUCACCAGUUGUACCAAUUUGAAGAACCUGGAAUUAGUAGAAUUCUAGAAGUUUACUUCUAAUCAUGUCCCUCUCAAUUUUAUUUCCCGCAGUCCAGGAGUGUUAUGUUUUGCCACUAUUAUUUUCAGAAUGUGAAGAUUUUACUCUUGGCUUAAUUUUUCCCUCCACUCAGUGCUAAGGCUGAGCCUCCAGAUGCUGUUACCUCAGAUUUAAUCACUGGUUGAAACUCCGUAUAAUCUGUAGAGCCUCCAUGGCUCUAAAAUUUGGAAUUAACUUCUCUUGCCUUAAGAGCUGCUUGUACAUAUGUGGAUAGCUAUGUAUAAAAGCUUCAUUUUAAAGAAGGUUCUUAUUGUGUUGUGGAUCAGGGUCACAGAUUGGGUAGCUUGGACACCAGUUAUUAGAG